AUAUGAUCAAGUAAUCAUACUUUAGAUCCAAAUUUGAACUAAGCCAAUUCUAGUUUCCCUUGAUAAUUCCAUUAUACAAGUUAAUAUUUAUUCUAAGCUUUGAUAAUUAAAAGAUUCUAGAUUAACUUACUCAGGAGCUUACUCAAUCAUUCCGAAUCUUUUCUUUUAGGCUAAACUUAUUUGGGCCUCUCAUGAAAUCCCACUUGCAUUUCUUAUAUGGUGAUACAAAAUCCACAAUCAACUCAUAGCCUUGAUUAAUAAAUAUUUAACUCACAAAAAUCAAAUAAUCUGGUUCAAAGAUUUACAAGAAAUUCCUCCAAGAUAUAAGCUCUAUGAUUUUACAUUGAGAUCCAUCAAAAUAUCAAUCUUAAUUGUUUCAAGUCUCAAGGGUUAGGGCCAAGUAAAAAUUCUUAAGUCUCAUCCCCAAGUAUAUUUUUCUUCUAUAUACGAGUUCCAUGCAUGAUCCACAUACAGAUUUCAAUAAAUAUUUUCUAGUCCAAACUUUAAACAUUUUUUUU
rnacentral:lncRNA from 1 species